CGCCGCGGUACAUCCACCUGCCCUUCGUCUCCACGCCCAGCCCGUGGCGCUUGCCCUGCGCCCAGUAGCCCAGAUUUUGCGUUGAGAAGUCUCAACUUUAGUUCAAGCUACAUCAUAUUUGCUUCUGGCCACAGUGUCCCUUGGUUGUUGGAGUUCCCCAUGUUCACCCUGUUCUGUCUUUGAAGGACUACCAGCAGCAUCCAAAGCUCUUGAGUCCUACAUUGCCAUGUCCUACAGAUUUUCCAGGUGCCUGAGGAGAACCAAAACCUGGUUGAAACUUUUCUAGUUGUUUAGAGGA